rnacentral:rRNA from 1 species
AGUGAACGCUGGCGGCAGGCCUAAUACAUGCAAGUCGAACGGCAGCACAGCAGAGCUUGCUCUGUGGGUGGCGAGUGGCGGACGGGUGAGGAAUACAUGGGAAUCUGCCCAGUCGUGGGGGAUAACGUAGGGAAACUUACGCUAAUACCGCAUGCGCCCUUCGGGGGAAAGCCGGGGACCUUCGGGCCUGGCGCGAUUGGAUGAGCCCAUGUCGGAUUAGCUAGUUGGCGGGGUAAUGGCCCACCAAGGCGACGAUCCGUAGCUGGUCUGAGAGGAUGAUCAGCCACACUGGAACUGAGACACGGUCCAGACUCCUACGGGAGGCAGCAGUAGGGAAUAUUGGACAAUGGGCGCAAGCCUGAUCCAGCCAUGCCGCGUGAGUGAAGAAGGCCUUGGUUGUAAAGCACUUUAAGCGGGAGGAAGGCCUGAUGGCUAAUAUCCAUCGGGAUUGACGUUACCCGCAGAAUAAGCACCGGACAAACUU